ACCCGCACAAGCAGCGGAGCGUGUGGUUUAAUUCGUUGCUACACGAAGAACCUUACCUGGGUUUGACAUAUAGGUUGUAGGGAACUGAAAAGGGACCGACCCUUCGGGGAGCCUAUACAGGUGUUGCAUGGCUGUCGUCAGCUCGUGUCGUGAGAUGUUCGGUUAAGUCCGCUAACGAGCGCAACCCUCGUCGUAUGUUAUAUGUGUCAUACGAGACUGUCGGUAAAAGCCGGAGGAAGGUGAGGAUGAUGUCAAGUCAGCAUGACCUUUAUAUCCAGGGCUACACACACGCUACAAUGGUCUGUACAAUGGGUAGCCAAGCCGCGAGGCGGAGCCAAUCCUGAAAGCAGGCCUCAGUUCAGAUUGCAGUCUGCAACUCGACUGCAUGAAGCCGGAGUUGCUAGUAACCGCAGGUCAGCAAUACUGCGGUGAAUACGUUCCCGGGUCUU
rnacentral:rRNA from 1 species